rnacentral:sRNA from 1 species
UUUUAGCCCAGAUGGAAGCGGCAUCCUUUUUAUCUCGUUUUGAAAACGAGAUAAAAAGAUAUAGCGGACAGCUGGAAUCAGC